UUAAUUACGGAAACUAACAUUAAUUACUGUUAUAAUAUUCGCAACACGAAAACAUGGAACCGUAAAUAAUAACACAAUUUUCAUAAAAGCAACAGCAAAAACGAAUUUUAUUGAUAAAAUCAUUCGAAAUUUAGGGUGACAUUCAUAGGGUUUCAGAUCAGUCUGUUAUCCCACGAUGGGUAGAUCUGGGGGAAAGAAAGGCAAAGGAAAGCUGAAAAUCAGUGCUUCAAAGCUUUCAAACAAACGAAUCAAUAAACUUGCCAAACAAGGUAAACUAAAGAGAGACAAAAGUAAACAGAUAAAAGAAAAAAAGGAACUUGAAGGUCGUCGUGGAAAUGAAAAACAGUUUCGGCCUAAAAAGGAUCUUGCCCAAGAGGAUGAAAUAGAAGUUGAGGAGGAAGACAUUCAAUUCUUUAAAUCUCAUCAACAGAGGAGCAGUUUUGUUUCUAACGUUGACAACAGGCUGCUGGAACAACCCUCAGAUGGUCAUAAAAAAGGCAAGAAACGCAAAGUGCUGGAUGAUGUUGAGGGAGAGGCAGAGUAUGAACGGUUGCCACGGAAACAGGUCGCCACGGACAACAACAGGAAGAUGAUGCUGCCCAUCAAAACCAAACAUGGAGUGGUGCAGAGGGUGCUAGAAGAUGAAGACGAGCCAGUGGCCAAUGGAGACGGUGGUUCAGACGAGGCCUCAGGAAGUGAGAUGGCAGACGCUGCUGAGGAGAGAGAGGAGCCCCUGCCGAUCCUGUCCGGUGUGGAACUGUACGCACAGAGGCAGAGGAAGCUACAGGAGCGCAAGCAGAGGAUCGCUCUUCUGUCCAGCGCUAUCAUUGAAAACCCCAACGAGAGCACCAAGAAGCUGCGGGAGUUGGUUGGAAUGCUGAAGGAGACAGACCCAGAUGUGUUUGUGACGGUGCGCAAGUUCACAAUGAUGUCACUGCUGGAGGUCUUCAACGAUAUCAUACCUGGAUAUUACGUCAGGCUGCCAACAGAGAAAGAACAGACACAGAAGAUGAAGAAGGAGACCAAGGAGAUACUGGGUCACGAGGUCGCACUUGUCCGUUUCUAUAGAGACUAUCUAGAGUUCCUGGACAGGACUGCUAAAGGUAACAAAAAGGAAGCAAGUGGUAAGAAGAAGAAUAAGAAGAAUAAACAUGGUAGUGAUGAAGCACCCAUUCCUGCAGCCACACAGCAGAAGCUGAAGCAGCUGUCAGUGCAGUGUCUAUGCAGUCUGCUACAGAAACAUCCACACUUCAACUACACUAACAACAUCAUCGCCGUCAUCGUGCCAUUCAUGAACAGCAACAAUGAACAGAUUUCCGAUACAGCGUGUAACUGUGUACGACAGCUGUUCAAGACAGACAAAAGUGGUCAUGUGAUUCUAGAGAUAACCAAGUGUGUUGGGAGAAUGAUAAAGGCUAGAGAUUACAGAAUUCAGCCCAAGGUGCUCAACACUUUUCUGAGCCUGCGCAUCAAGGAGGUGAGCUACACCGACCCGGUUACGAAGGAGGAGGAGAAAAAGAAGCAAAAUAGCGAGAAGCUGUCACGCAGGGAGCGGAAGCUGAAGAAAAAAGAAAUGUUUAUAGCUCGAGAUCUGGAGGAAACCAGGGCUACAGAAGACAAGAGGAAACGAUUAAAGCUGCACACAGAGACAAUUCAGACUGUGUUCCUGACAUAUUUCCGUAUCUUGAAGAAGGCGACCCACUCUGUUCUCUUCCCUUCUGUUCUCGAAGGUCUUGCAAAGUUUGCACACAUGAUCAAUGUGGAUUUCUUUGAAGACCUAUUUGCUGUAUUCAACAAGUUGAUAGCUACAGAGGAGCUGUCGUACAGGGAGUCUCUUCACUGUGUCCAGACUGCGUUCACAAUCCUCUCUGGGCAGGGAUCGGCCCUUAAUAUUGACCCAGUUGUGUUCUACAAGCACCUCUACAAGACUCUGUACCAUGUACAUGCUGGGUGUUCAUCGGAUGAUGUGAAGAUUGUGCUGGAUUGCCUUGACAUUAUGAUCAGUCGUAGGAAACGGCAGGUGUCCCAGCAAAGAAUUCUGGCCUUCCUAAAGCGUCUGAUGACUCUGAGUCUGCAGCAGACAACACAUGGAACUUUGGGAUUGCUCUCUGUCAUCAGAAGCUUUAUUAUUACGUACAGUUACUGUGAUGUGUUAAUGGACAACGAAGCACAAGGCAGCGGUGUGUACAUGCCGGAGUUAGAUGACCCCGAGCACUGUAACGCCCACAAUGCCAUGCUCUGGGAACUGGCUUUACUCAGGCAUCACUACGACCCGGCAGUACGGAGGUUCUGCACCCAUCUACGUAACGGGGCACCCACGUCUGGGGAGGGGCAGCUGCCUGUGGAGCUGAGAAAUUUUGAUGUUUCAGGUUGCCAACACAGAUCCUGAAUGAGUACCAGAGACUGGACAUAUUUAAUCAGUUUGUUCCAGAAAAACCAAAGGGGCCACACAAACACAAGGGGCGACAGGGCGACUAUCUGCAGCAAGACGUGGCAGAGCAAGUCCUUCAGGUCCUGUCAGCAACAGAAGACUUUGUAGAUGUAACAUGAUUGCAUUGACCCUUUGUUAUGUGUAUGAUAAUAAAAUGUAUUUUAAUUUUAAA